rnacentral:lncRNA from 1 species
GAUAUGAACAAAAGAUUCUCAUUCUCGUCAUAUGAACUUGAAGAUCGGGUGUUGAAAUUUACAUCAAAAUGAGUUUACAAAAGCAAGUAGUUGGAACUGAAGUGCAUGGAAUAAAUCAAAUUGGAUUCUAAGGAGGUUUUUUUGGUCCUCACAUUUGCUAGGAAUGGAGUGGGCUGCCCACUCCUUGUUUGGAGGGUUUCCACAAUCUCUGUAUUUCCUUUCAACCCUUUCAUAACCCUUCUCGUAUUUCCUCUCAACCCUUCCCGUUAUCUGGCUCACUCCCCUUUUCAAUCGUUUGUGGUUUUCGGCGUAAUUCUUCUCCUCUGUGUAAUCCUUCUUAAUUCUCUCUCCUCAUGUUCUUUCUCUCUUUCUGUCCUUUUUUUCCCUCCGAGUCUCAGAUCUUUGUCGUUGGUUUUAUUGAAUGGUCCAUUUUCAAGUCCUAACCUUUGAUUGGCUUCUCCUCCUCUGUCAAUGGUUUCGUGGAAGGCUGAGUUUUCAGAACUUGCCUCCGAAACCGUAAUCGUUGUUCGUUGUGGGUUUCGUUAACAGGUUCAUUUCAACGCUUUGCCUCUGAAACCCUUCUCCUUCUCCCUCUUUGGUUUCCCUGAAUGACUGGGUUUCCACCCCUUGCCUCCGGAACCAUUCCUUGCAUGUUCAAAAAGGGUUCUCCAUGAACAUGCACGAAUCUCUUCCUUGUUGCUCAAACUUCCCCCUUGCCGCUCUUACUUGUACUCUGAAUUUGAAGUUUAUUGAAUACUUCUUGGGUCAAAUUUGGCAUGAGAGUCCUCAGACUUAAAACAUAAGCAUUUAAGUUACUGAGCUUCGUGACCCUAAGAUGUAGCGAGCUGAAAAACAGAAGAAGUUAUAGUGAAUAAUCCGGGGCCAAAUUUGCCCUGACAUGACCCGAGCUAAAAAAACAUAAGCAUUAGCCUAUAGAUGUCCAUGAGUUUAAGAACAUAAGCUAAAAUGGAAAUUAAAAACUAAGACCUAUACACUUUUUAGAAAAAAACAUCUUAGCCAUAAAUUAAAGAAGAUGACACUAAGUGGAAGCUCUUUCAUCAAUUUUUAUUUAGUGUACCGUGUAUAUGCAUGCAAACAAAAAAAUAGUGGAAAAGCAAGAUUGAAACUAAAUUUAUGAAAUGAACAUCCUAAUUAACAAGAUUAAAUAAAGUUGAAUAAAUUUUUUUAGGUUAAUUUUCAUAAAAUAACAAACAGUCAAAAUAUUUACAGCUCGAGUAACAAAAUGAAAAAGUCUAUUAUGCUGACCACUUUUUAAAAGUAUUUUAGAUUUGUCAUUCCUUUUCAUAGUCUUCUUCUCGUCUUCUGCCAUUUUUUUCUUCUUUUGUCAUUUUCAUUUUAUUUUUUAAACGGUUAUUUGGUUCAAGAUAGUGUACCGGAUAUAAAAUAUUUAUUUCUUUUAAUUUUUUUUUCUAACCGUUGGUUGUUCAGGAUGUCUACCAAAUCUAAACAAUCGUCGAAAACAUAGUCAAAUCUAAGCGAUCGUGUACCAAAUAAUCUUAAAAAAAUCGUUUAGAUUUGGGUAAUCAAAUUUAAACGAUUGUGUACCAAAAAAUCUUGAAAAAAAUUGUUGAGAUUUAGACAUAGCAUUGAGUUUGAAGAGGGCUUUGAAAAGAGGAGGAAUCCUCCCCGUUCCACACUAGGGGAAAAACGAGACUUGUCACUCCGAAGGGAGCAGUCAAACUUAGCAUUGAGUUCAAGGUAUCCUUCUUAGAUUCUUGAAUCGUGACUACAUUAGGACUACAAUAGUUGAUGAAUUUUUUAAGUGCUUCACGUUUAGAGGAGUCGUUCUUCAUAAUGACUGGGAGGAGGAAAAGACAGUUGCACAUCUAAUUUAAGCCAUAAUGAUUCCACAAUCACCGACUAUAGACACUAAAUCUUUAGGCAAAUCCAGGGGAAUUUUAAUAGGGAGAAUAUCUUCAUCAUUGAACAAGACAUUCAGAUCCAUCCCAUUAAUUUUUGGGACUAAUUUAGGGUCAACUUCAGUGUUGGGGACUGCCAAUUUAACUGAUCUCAACAGUAAGUUGAUUAAGUUGGGGAACACGAGACAAGGCAUCUGCUGCUUUGUUUUCUAGUCCCGGUUUAUACACGACAUCAAAAUUGUAGCCAAGAAGCCUAGCAAUCCACCUCUGAUGUUGAGGUUGGAUAACCCUUUGUUCCAAUAAAAGUUUCAAUGAUCGUUGAUCAGUUUUCACUACAAACCUCCUGCCCAAAAGAUAAGGUCUAUAGCGUUGCACAGCCAAAACUACAGCCAUAAAUUCCCGUUCAUAAACUGGUUUAACACGACCCCUCAUAGCUAAUGUCAGGCUAAAAUAAGCAAUUGGCCGAUGAUUUUGAAUUAAGACAGCAUCUACCCCGUAUCCAGAAGCAUCGGUCUCUAUUUCAAAUGGUAAGGAAAAAUCUGGCAGUGCUAAGAUUGGGAGAGUCAUCGUAGCCAUCUUUAAAUUCUCAAAAGUUUCAGCAGCUGCAACAGUCCAUUCAUAAGCUCCUUUCUUCAAUAAUUGAGUUAAAGGCGCAACCACACUUCCAUAAUUCAUUAUAAAUCUUCGAUAAUAUUCUGUCAACCCAAGAAAUCCACGAACUUCACGGACAUUAGUGGGCACGGCCAUUCUUUGAUAGAUCUAAUUUUCUCGGGAUCAACCUCUACACCCUUGCCCGAAAUUAUAUGGCCAAGAUACUCCACUUUCAUUUUGGCAAACCCACACUUGUGCAUAUUAGCAUAUAAUUUAUUCUGUCGCAGCACCUCUAACACCCAUUCUAAAUGUUGAAGAUUUUCAUCCAAACUUCUGCUGUAAAUUAAAAUAUCAUCAAAAAAGACUAAGACAAACCUGCGUAGGUAAGGUUUAAAGAUACUAUUCAUCAAAGCUUGAAAUGUUGAUGGUGCAUUGGUGAGCCUAAAAGGCAUGACAAGAAACUCAUAAUGUCCAUCGUGAGUUCUAAAAGCUGUUUUCUCCACAUCCUUUUUCCACAUUCUAAUUUGAUGAUAUCCCGCCUUGAGAUCAAAUAGCAAUACUGCUAACUAUUUAGGUGUAUUCACACAGGCGAACUGCUGGUGUUGCUCUCGCUGGACUAUUGGGAAAUGUGAGAGCUCAAGGGCGGCCAUUGAGUGAUUUUAUUAACCAAAAGAUAGUAGUGGUAGGGGCUGGAAGGUAUUGUCAGCUGUUAACUUUAACAUUUUCUCCAAAUAGCAAGUUAGGGAUCAUAAGCCUUGUCCUCUUUGUUGAAACAAAAGUGGUUGUUUGAAAGAGGAAUUACUAUUACUAUUACUAUUACUAUUACGUGAAUAUAAGAGAAAUGAAAACUUUAUAAACUAGUUCAAUCCUUUUGGUUUAACCUUCAUUUGUUUCAGCAUGCUGUUUUUUCUCCUCUUUCAACUUCAGUGCAGAGCUCGGUGUUCUUAACAUGGCUAUUCAGGUUGUUUUGAGAAUGGCAGGGAACAAUGAUUCUACUGCAAGAAAUCGGUUUUUUUUCUAAUAGACAAAGAUGUAAGAAUCUUUUUCAAACUUUCAUUUCUCAAUUCCUAUUAUCUUAUCUUUAUAGUUGUCAUGGUAUCAAGACAUUCAAGGAAGUAAUACUUCUACUAAGAAACAUGAGAACUAAACAGAAUGUACCGAAGAAAAGAAAAAUGUCCUCAUUAGACUCAAGGGCAAUUACUUUCACACAACUAGUGUAAAGAUUCAUGUAUAGAGCACUCACUCAACAAGUGCCCUAACUAAUCACAACAGAGGUAGUUCUGUUUACCCUCUCGCUUAGUAUCGUGAUACCAACUAUCAUUUUCGUGAAAUAUAAGAAUCAAACUCUCCUUUUAAGCAUAUCAGGGUGACAACAAACUUAUGAACACCAUAAUCCUAACUUAAGCCUUUAAAUUAUAACUUACAAAAGUCAGCCAAUGGCCAUAAUAAUACGAAAAAAAAUUAUAUAGGCCUAGACUAGUCUUAUGAUGCCCUCCUAUUAUGUUUCCCCUUAUAGUGGUCGUGGUAUCAAGGCAUUUGAAGGAGUAAUACUUCUACUAAGAAACCUGAGAACCAAACACAAUGUACCCAAGAAAAGGAGACAUGUCUCACUUAGACUCAAGGACAUUAGCUUUCACAUAUUUGGUGUAGGGAUUCGUGUACAGCUCAAUAGGCAUCAAACUGAUCACAACAAAGGUAGGUCAUUUUAUCCUCCCGCAUAGCAUUGUAAUACUAACUAUCGUUUCCGUUAACUUUCAGUAUCAAACACUCGCUUUAAGCUUAUUGGGGUGACAACAAACUUAUGAAGACCAUAAUCCUAAUUCAAGCCUUUAAGUUAUAAAUUACAAAAACCAGCUAAAGAUCAAUAGACACACUUAGACAUCUCAACUAGGUUGACACUCUCAUAGCACCCACAUCAUAUUCACCAAAAAUAAACUAGGGUCAAAAGAUCAAUCAUCAAAAGAAUCCAACUCCACGCCCGUCCCAAAUCAUAAGAGAACAACCUAUUUAUUAAUAAUAAUAAGAGACUCAUGCUUACGGUACAAGAGAAUUAUACAGAAAGCAAAAGAAGUAACCAAAUCAAACUCAACACUGAGUUCUAGUUGGUGUUGAAAUAAAAAGGUUUGUUCGUAUCUUGGAAUACAAUUUGAGAUUUCUUUCAAAAGUCGGGAAUUUGCAGCACUCUCCAUCAUUCCUUCAAAGCUUGCUAAGAAAGUAGUAUUGUCUCAUAUAAGGGUAUACCUCAAUGCCGUUUUUUGCAGAUGGACCCUAAUUUAGAUGUGGGGUAUUUUAAAUGUUGAAACUUCAUGGCUGACAAACCAACCAUCUUUUUUUUUUUUGUUGUUGUCCCGCUGCUUUACAUCAUUGUAACCGAUUACUGUUUCUUUUACAAGAGACAAACUUUUCUUUGAUAGAGACAAGAAUAAAAUUGUUGUAGGAUGCAAACUGGGGUGUAAAAGAGAGAACAAAAUGGCCAAUCAAAAAAGGCAAAACAAGCUCAAAAAACCAAGCGAUGAAAAUUGUGUUUGAUGGUGGCAACAGAGUGCAAGAGCAGCAGUGUGUUGUGAUUUAUGAGGUACAAUGGCUUCUAAGGAUUUUCAGUGAAAGAGUGAUGGCUACGAAGGAUGCACGAUGCCAAGGGUUUUUUCGUGGAGAUGAGUGACAGUGAUUAGUUUUUGAAAGAAAGCAAGGCAACAUAGCUAGAGUUCCUACAAAGGAAGCUAGGAUUCUAGUGGCAAGGCUUGGAUUUGAAGAUAUUCAAGGCUACUUUAUCAUUAAAAUAUGAAUGAGAAAUGUUUUUCGUUUCCACGAGAAAGACUCAAAUUUAUACGAGAGGAUUUUCAACCAUUUCUGCUAGAAUUAAGCAAUCAAUCCAAAAAUCUACAUGGGAUGGAAAAAUUAAAAAAUAUGGAAGGAAACAAUCUUCGCAGAAUUAUUGAUUUAGUUUCCAAUUUACAGAUGAAUUGAAUAGCUUGAUUUUCUACAAAAUAUAUUAAAAGAAAAUAUGUUUUAAUACCAGGUGGAAGUAGAAAUAUUAUUGAG